UUCCACGUAAUUAGGUAAUCUUCAACCACUUCAAAGAGUUGUAGAAUAUGGCAUUUAAACAACUUAGGGUUCUGUUGACAUGAGACAUGAUUGUUUUUGGCAGCACCCAUCUCUUCCCUAGAAAUAUUGGGCACUAAAGACAUUUCACUUGGAGCUUGCUUUCUUCUUGGCAAAACUAGCCUUUGGGCAAAAAAAUCACUGUUGCCUGAACACUGACAAAAUCCACGGAGUCCAGACUAGACUAGUAGAAUACAAGCAAAAUGACUGCUAAACCUUGCCAAGAGAAGGACAAGACAGAAGUAAAGAUGAACAGGAUUAGUUGGCGCUCUGGACUACCAUCAUCCUCUGUCUGCGCUUUGUGGGGCAAGUGCCUGGCAGGAACAUCCUGGAAAAGCUUCAUGGCAGACAAGAACAGAAGAGAACUUGUGGGCAGGCUUGUCUCCAAGACGUACAAAGGCAUCACUAACCUGGAUUGAACCUGGGUUGAGGUCAAAGGGCAAGGAGAGUGCUGAAAUCAUGUUUGCCACUAAAUACACAGGGAAGAAGGGACCAACAGAGCAGAAAAUGUUUCUCUUUAACACUGUAAGUAUUUGGUAAUGCUAAGAAUGAAUGUAUGUAUGCAACAAACAUGAACUAAAUCAAUAAUAGUGUGUAAACAUUUUCUAAUUGUCUUACUUUUAUUAUUAGCUUAUUCAUUGUACAGUGGGUUUCAUUAUAGCUUCAUACAUUUGUGUCUGAAAUGUGUUUCAAUUACCCCCAUUGCCAUAUCUUGUCCCCUCAGCCACUCCUGUUGCUUUUUCUCCCUCUAGC